rnacentral:rRNA from 1 species
UACGUAGGGGGCAAGCGUUGUCCGGAUUUAUUGGGCGUAAAGAGCGUGUAGGCGGCCUGAAAGGUCAGCUGUGAAAACUCGAGGCUCAACCUCGAAGACGUCGGUUGAAACCAUCUGGCUAGAGUCCGGAAGAGGAGUGUGGAAUUCCCGGUGUAGCGGUGAAAAUGCGCAGAUAUCGGGGAAAGAACACCCCGUGGCGAAGGGCGGCAACUCUAGUACGGUACUGACGCUGAGACGCGAAAGCGUGGGGAGCGAACAGGAUUUUAGAAACCCG